GGGCGCGUGGUCUAGUGGUAGGAUACUGCGCGAUGGAUUGCUUCAUUCGCUUGUGUAGUCCAUCUCUCGCUUCGCACGGUGACAGUGGUUCGAAUCCAUUCGUGCCCA